GAGGGUAUAGCUCAAGUGGUAGAGUACAUGCUUGGCAUGCAGGAGGUCCUGAGUUCAAUCCCCAAUACCUCUU
rfam:Camelus ferus unplaced genomic scaffold scaffold750, whole genome shotgun sequence.